GGUUGGAUUGUGAAAGCGAUUGUUGGCCAGUGAGAGGUUUACUUUUGUGCAGUAAAAAGCUCAAAAGAACAACUGCCUAUCGUUGUCUGGACUCUUAUUUGUGUUUUUGUAAUCAUUAUAGGCCCUGUCCCAAAUGGCGCACUUCAUGUGGACUUUCGGUCUCGUGGCCUUAAAUUGCGCGUGCUCGCUUAGUCUACGAGUCCGUAGGGUGUCCCAUCUGUCAUUUUUGCGCUUCGAAGUGUGCUCAUCAGCGCCCCCUUUGCCCCCUUGAUGCGGUCUUCGGCGAAGCCCGCACUGCAGCAGGCUUCGCGCACUUUACCAACCCAGAAGUCCUUGCGAACGACCAAUCAUACGACGGAUGGGAGGAGUUGACGCUGAUGAGCAAGCAAGCAUGUCAGAGCAGAAAAUAUUUAAGUGGACAGAUGAUAUGACAUUUCUGUUUAUUCGGCUGCGCAUGGAGAUGGAUAAGGUGUUCACAGGGAUGAGGAAUUCAUCUGCUCAAGGGUUUGAGGGGAUCAUUAAGGACAUGGGGGCGAGGGCGACUCACUCCACAGCAAGCUAAAAAAAAAAUGGGAAAACCUUAAAAGAAAAUUCAAAGAUUUGUGCCUGCCCAAGACAGGAUCUGGAACCAAUGAAGGGGAGGUGACUGCAGCACCAUGGCCUUUUUUUGAGGCCAUGCAUGUAGCUAUUGGCCAAAGACCAAGUGUAAUGCCUGUGGCUACCUUUUCUUCUGGUCCCAGUGCACAGCUUUCACCAGCAGUCAUGUCAGGUCCCUCUGGUGCCAUAGCUGCUGAUGAUGUGCACCCUGCCUGUAGUCCUGCUGAAACAGAGGAGCAGGAUGUUGCCAGACCAUGGCCAUCAGGGGCGCAUGACAGUGUAGCGUCCUCAACAGCAGAGGAAAUUCCCAGGCCAUCAAACAGGGCAAGUGAGGGAAGGGGAAAAGCCCAAAAAAAGAAAGAGGCAAAGUGAUUUGAGUUCUCUGGAACUCAUUAAGGAAAUGGCAGAGAAACAAGCCCAGCGUCAGAUGGAGGCAGAUGCCAAAGAGGAAGAGCGGUUUCAGAGGGCAGAGAGGCAGAUGGAUCAGAUGCUUAGUGUUUUAACUAAACUGGUCGAUCAUGUUACAAAAACAUAAGUUGAGCAACAUGUAUAUCACACCUGUUUCACAUUUUGCAGGAAUGAAUUUUGGUAGAGCCUCAUGUUGCAUUUUGUAAGUUAUUUUUCA